rnacentral:rRNA from 1 species
CUCAUUAAAUCAGUUAUCGUUUAUUUGAUAGUACCUUACUACUUGGAUAACCGUGGUAAUUCUAGAGCUAAUACAUGCUAAAAACCCCGACUUCGGAAGGGGUGUAUUUAUUAGACAAAAAACCAAUGCCCUUCGGGGCUCCUUGGUGAAUCAUGAUAACUUAACGAAUCGCAUGGCCUUGCGCCGGCGAUGGUUCAUUCAAAUUUCUGCCCUAUCAACUUUCGAUGGUAGGAUAGUGGCCUACCAUGGUAUCAACGGGUAACGGGGAAUUAGGGUUCUAUUCCGGAGAGGGAGCCUGAGAAACGGCUACCACAUCCAAGGAAGGCAGCAGGCGCGCAAAUUACCCAAUCCCGACACGGGGAGGUAGUGACAAUAAAUACUGAUACAGGGCUCUUUUGGGUCUUGUAAUUGGAAUGAGUACAAUUUAAAUACCUUAACGAGGAACAAUUGGAGGGCAAGUCUGGUGCCAGCAGCCGCGGUAAUUCCAGCUCCAAUAGCGUAUAUUAAAGUUGUUGCAGUUAAAAAGCUCGUAGUUGAACCUUGGGCCUGGCUGGCCGGUCCGCCUCACCGCGUGCACUGGUCCGGCCGGGCCUUUCCUUCUGGGGAUCCCCAUGCCCUUCACUGGGUGUGGCGGGGAACCAGGACUUUUACUUUGAAAAAAUUAGAGUGUUCAAAGCAGGCCUUUGCUCGAAUACAUUAGCAUGGAAUAAUAGAAUAGGACGUGCGGUCCUAUUUUGUUGGUUUCUAGGACCGCCGUAAUGAUUAAUAGGGAUAGUCGGGGGCAUCAGUAUUCAAUUGUCAGAGGUGAAAUUCUUGGAUUUAUUGAAGACUAACUACUGCGAAAGCAUUUGCCAAGGAUGUUUUCAUUAAUCAGUGAACGAAAGUUAGGGGAUCGAAGACGAUCAGAUACCGUCGUAGUCUUAACCGUAAACUAUGCCGACUAGGGAUCGGGCGAUGUUAUUAUUUUGACUCGCUCGGCACCUUACGAGAAAUCAAAGUCU